AAAAGAAAAGGAGGACUUGCGGCGCCUUAGCGACUGACAACCCUCGCUAGACUCUCUAGCUCCCUUGCGCUGCCUGUUUCAUUGCACUGCGGCUGUUUCCGAGAGGUCCGCGCAGGGUGCUGGUGUUGAGAUCUUGGGCUGGAGAGAAUUCGCUGCCUCCCGCGUCUUCUCCCCUUUCGUGUAACGUCAGGGGCGCGAGUAAAGCGGACGGAUCUGUCAAUGACCGGCCUGCCCGAGGACAAAAAGCCAGGGAGCUGCCGCGGCGCAGGGCUGGGCUCCAUUGAGCCCUCUUGAUGAAUGAAAGGCGGCCGCGUGCCGGGUCUCCGCUAGAGGGAGCCCAGGGUCGCUCCGUGGGAGAGACGCCGGCGGCUCGGAACCGCAAAGCCCGGCGCUCGGCGGGCUUCGCCUCAGCCGGCAGGGCGGCCCGCUUGCCCAGUCUUGCCCGGAGCGGGCGGGCGGAGGAAGGCGUGCGCUUGCCCGCCGUUGUGUAACGCUAAGCGGGAGCCGCCGCCGCCGGGCAGGCGCCUGGCCAGUCAAUCCCAGGCUGAGCAGGAAAAAAUCAUGCCCCUGGGGAGAGGAACUGGUGUGGUUCUGGAAAGAUAGUCAUGGAAGGGGUAGCACUAUUAGAAACUAUGGUGAGAGCUCACAGUCCCAAUCAAAGUGACAACAGUGGUGGGGGAAGUCUGUGUAGAGAUGAAAGUAGAAAGAAGAGGCAAGAGUGGAAAUGAGAGGCAGCAGAGCUGGAGGAAUCACGAACCUGGAAACUUGGAUCAUCCAGGAGAAGAGUAGGAGGGUUGCUAAUAAGUUCUAUUCUCAGAAGCAAAACAUUAGAUCAAGGCAGCAAGAAAGAAGCAACCAGGGGAGGAGGAGAAGGAAAAAACCAAAACCCUACAGUCAUUAUGUAUAUGUACUUUUGCUUUGAUCUAUUUAAAUGAUGGAGGAAUUCUUUCUUUCUUUCUUUCUUUCUUUCUUUCUUUCUUUCUUUCUGAAUCAUUGGGAAGACAUGGCUUAAUUUAGAAUAAAACAAAGAAUAUCCAUAAUAUAAAUAAUUUUAGCAGAACUAAACUGAGCUCUGUGGCCCUAUUAGUGGCUCAAGAGAGGGAGGAAUAGUGCUAAAAGUAAGAGGUUAGACUUGGUUUCAGGAGAUAAAUUUGCAUAGGAGGGCAGGGGAUGGCUUAAAUCACUGAGCUGCAGUUUCAGCCAGAAGCUGCUGCUGUUUUUAUCCUCCUGCUACCACCUCACCCACUUUCUUUUUGUCCAGAUAGACAAAAAGAAAGAGGAUAAAAAGCUUCCUUGAGCCACUAUGCUUUGAUGACUCUGUUACUACAACUAUUAACCUCAGGUGCUACCUUUGGCUUUGUCUAUACUAGAAAAGCACAAUGAUUUAACUAAACCAUUUAAAUGUGACUUAUUUUAACCAUUGCAAACGGCUAAUAUAGAUGCAUAUGAGCUACUUUGACUAUUGUGUAUAUAGAUUUAGCUUAAAUUGGCAACUUAUGUUCUAUUAUAUUGUCAGAUCUCCCUUCCUCCUUUCACAGAAGUUCUGUGAUUCAAUUAUGGUGUGACCUUGGGCAAGUGAUUGAAGCUCCGUGGCUUCUAAUUUCUUCAUCAGGGUGCUAAUCCAAAGCACAUUAAAAUGAAUGAAACUCUUUCUACUGACUACAGUGGGCUUUGGGUCAGUCCCCUUUUCAGUAAGGAUGCUGUGAGGAUUAAUUAAUUCCCCUGCUGCUACAUCCACAUUGCUGUUUUUAGCAUGCUAGCUUGAGCAGAACCAGUGUGUGUCCGUAUAACUGGGCUGGGAGGCAUACUGUUAGGGACCUCAGAUGGCUUAAGUUAGAGAUGCCCUGAGGCUGAUGGAGCAGUGAGAGUGUCAUUUAGUCUCCAUGCCCAUCAAAUCCUUUAAAUCUUUGCUGUGACUGCCACCAUUUAUGCCAACUGUGUUGCUGGUUUGGUCAUAUGGAAACUUACCCAGUUGGAACUGGAGGGAGACUACUAAUUUAUUUCACAAACAGCACUGAACAAUCAUUAGAUAUUAGUGACUUUUUUGGCUGCUAAUGACCUGGGCCUAAAUUUGAUCUGGUCAUCUAGAAGUGAAAGACUCUCUGGAAACUAUUACUACUCACCAAAUAAGCACAGGCCACAUCACCUCCAAAAGUCUGCUGUUUGAGAUUAUAGCAAAUGUAUAAAUUAUUCAAUGCAAAUGUGGAGUUUUUGUAAAUAAAUAAAAUAAAAUAAAUAAAGCUAGUUGAAAUGCUUCUGAAUAUGAUGGGAACAGCCAUUUCUAAAUGUCAGUAGAGCCAAGAGAUUGUGUAGGGGGAAAAAUGGCCAUAGUUUGAGUAUAAAAGUUUAAGGCAUUAUCCUGUGAAAAAUCUAUUAUUGUAAAAUGAUCUGUAUACAUGGUAGAACUGUGACUUGCAAUUAUAUUCUUUUACCACAGAAAAAUGCUUGCAGGAAACAAUAUGGCAUAGUAAAACCUAUUUGGAAGCAAAUGUAUGGGUUAAGAGCAUGUGGUCUAUCAUGCUAUUUUUUAACUUGAUAUUUUCAACUUCUGGGACAUUGAACAGUUACCAGCAAUAUGUCGUGAGCAAAUUUCUUUUAUUUGUAAUGCUUGCUGUCAUUUGUAGUGUAAGUCUCAAUUGAAACAUUAAACUUUUUAUGAACUGGAAA